GUGGAGGUUGUAGUGAGCUGAGAUCUUGCCACUGCACUCCACUCUGGGUGACAGAGUGAGACUCUGUAUCAAUAAAUAAAAAAUAAAAAAUAAAAAUAUCACUAUGUAUGUUUAAAAGAUGAAGAGUUAAAAAAUGCUUUACUGUCUUACAUGAAUACUCCCUUACAAUGAAAAGUAAUCAUCAUUCAGGACAUCAUAAAAUAUCCCGUUAAUGUUGUCAUUUCCCUGGUUCUUAUUUUUACUUUAUUGCUUUGCAUAGAGAUACAAAUCAUCCACUAUAAUAGGUUUUUGUGUGUGUGUGUUAAUUCUUUGUUAAUCUAAGUUGCCACUUAUUUAAUUCCAUCCCCCCAUUCAAACAUUGCUAUUGUUGUAGAAAGUAGGUCAUUUUUUCUGUAAAAUUUUCUUUGGUUUCAGUUUUGCCAAUUAGAUCCUUGUGUUGUCAUUUAACAUGUUUUUCUUUCUUUCUUUCUUUCUUUUUUGAGACGGAGUUUCGCUCCUGUUGCCUAGGUUGGAGUGCAAUGGCGUGAUCUCGGCAAACUGCAACCUCCGCCUCCUGGGUUCACACCAUUCUCCUGCCUCAGCCUCCCGAGUAGCUGGGAUUACAGGUGCCCACCACCAGGCCCUGCUAAUUUUUUUUGUAUUUUCAGUAGAGACGUGGUUUCACCAUACUGGCCAGGGUGAUCUCGAACUCCUGACCUCAGGUGAUCUGCCCGCCUCAGCGUCCCAAAGUGCUGGGAUUACCAGCGUGAGCCACUGUGCCCGGCCUUGGUUGCCUGUUUUUAUGGUUAUUUCUUCAUGAUAUGGUAACCAAGGGGUGGAUUAUUCAUGCCUUCCCUUUUUGGUCCACAUAGGGUAACUUCCUGACGUUGCCAUGGCAUCUGUAAACUGUGAUGGAGCUGGUGGGAGUGUAGCAAUGAGGACCACCAGAGGUCACUCUCGUCGCCAUCCUGGUUUUGGUGGGUUUUGGCCGGCUCCUUUACUGCAACCUGUUUUAUCAGCAAGGUCUUUAUGACCUGUAUCUUGUGCCGACCUCCUAUCUCAUCCUGUGACUUAGAAUGCCUUCAUCAUUUGGGAAUGCAGCCCGGUAGGUCUCAGCCUCAUUUUCUCCACCUCCUACUCAAGAUGGAGUUGCUCUGGUUCAAAUGCCUCUGACAAAAUGUCUACGGAGGCCGGGCGCGGUGGCUCAUGCCUGUAACCCCAGCACUUUUGGAGGUUGAGGCGAGUGGGUCAUGAGGACAGGAGUUCAAGACCAGCCUGGCCAACAUGGUGAAACCCCCAUCUCUACUAAAAAUACAAAAAUUAGCUGAGCGUGGCGGUGGGCACCUGUAAUCCCAGCUACUCAGGAGACUGAGGCAAGAGAAUCAUUAGAACCUGAGAGGCAGAGGUUGCAGUGAGCUGAGAUCAUGCCAUUGCAUUCCAGCCUGGGCAACAAGAGCGAAACUCCAUCUCAAAAGAAAAAAAAAUGUCUAUGGGAGGUGGGCAGUCUCCCAUAGCUGGGACAUCAGCGGUCUGUGGUGACAGCCUGUCAUCCCUCUGUCCCUUCACUAACCCCUCCCCUAGGAGCCUUUCAGUGCUGGGAACUGGCCCUAGCGUUCAGCUACCCCACACCACAUUCCCAGGUUCCUAGCUCUUCAGCCCUGUUGUCUGCAUGCCUCUGUAUCAACUCUUGGUGUUUUUCCUACGAAGAUCUUCUCUAAGUCUGUUGGUUUAUCCAAUAUCUUGGUUUCUCUUGGUGGGAGUGGUGCUUCUGGGCUGUGUCCAGUCAGGCAUCUUGACCCUCCUCUAGGCAUGAUUUUGAAAAUUUAAUCUGUUCCCUGACUUCCUGGAAACAUAAGCUGGCUGGGAAAUGGGCUUGCGAGACAUUGUGACAUCCCGAGGAGACUUCUCCUCAUUGGGAGGGAUCAGAGGCUGCCCUUGCUCUUCUCCCUUUUGUCUCUUGUGAGAUGUGAAGCUUCAUGUGAAUAUUGUGUGGAGCCAACACCAUGGAAGGCAAGGUGGACACCUGGAGAAACGUUCCUUCCCUGUGGUGUUUUUGGAGCUCAUGGAUCAGCCUCCCUAGGGUUCACGUGUUGAAAUCCUAACUCCAAAUAUGAUGAUAGGAGGAGAUGGGGCCUUCGGGAGGUGAUGAGGUCAUGAGGGUGGAAUCCUCAUGAAUGGUCUCAACGCCCUUAGAAAAGAGACCCCAGAGACCUCGCUCCCGCUUUCUACUGUGGGAGAAUGCAGCAAGAAGUCAGCCGUCUAUGAACAAGGAAGCAGGUCCUCUCCAGGCACUGAAUGUACCAGUGCCUUGAUCUUGGACUUCCCAGCCUCCAGAACUAUGACAAUAAAUUCUGUUGUUUAAGCUACAUGGUCUAUGAUACUUUUGUUAAAGAAGCCCAAAGUGACUAAGACAGGCAUCAAACAAUAUAUUGUCCUUUGUGAUGGAUCCUUUCACUUUGCAUAAUGUUUUCAAGGUCUAUCCAUUUUAUACCACAUAACAGCACCUCCUUUGCUUUCAUGGCUGAAUAAUAUUCCAC
rnacentral:lncRNA from 1 species